UACGGGGGGAGCAAGCGUUGUUCGGAUUUACUGGGCGUAAAGGGCGCGUAGGCGGCCACCGCAGUUCGGUUGUGAAAUCUCCGGGCUUAACCCGGAACGGUCAAUCGAUACUGCGGGGCUAGAGUGCAGAAGGGGCAACUGGAAUUCUCGGUGUAGCGGUGAAAUGCGUAGAUAUCGAGAGGAACACCUGCGGCGAAGGCGGGUUGCUGGGCUGACACUGACGCUGAGGCGCGAAAGCUAGGGGAGCGAACGGG
rnacentral:rRNA from 1 species